rnacentral:rRNA from 1 species
AACGAACGCUGGCGGCAUGCCUAACACAUGCAAGUCGAACGAACCCUUCGGGGUGAGUGGCGCACGGGUGCGUAACGCGUGGGAAUCUGCCCUGGGGUGCGGAAUAACGUUUCGAAAGGAACGCUAAUACCGCAUAAUGACUUCGGUCCAAAGAUUUAUCGCCCUGGGAUGAGCCCGCGUAGGAUUAGCUAGUUGGUGAGGUAAAAGCUCACCAAGGCGACGAUCCUUAGCUGGUCUGAGAGGAUGAUCAGCCACACUGGGACUGAGACACGGCCCAGACUCCUACGGGAGGCAGCAGUGGGGAAUAUUGGACAAUGGGCGAAAGCCUGAUCCAGCAAUGCCGCGUGAGUGAUGAAGGCCUUAGGGUUGUAAAGCUCUUUUGCCAGGGAUGAUAAUGACAGUACCUGGAGAAUAAGCUCCGGCUAACUCCG